rnacentral:rRNA from 1 species
CCUACGGGAGGCAGCAGUGAGGAAUAUUGGUCAAUGGACGCAAGUCUGAACCAGCCAUGCCGCGUGCAGGAAGACGGCUCUAUGAGUUGUAAACUGCUUUUGUACGAGGGUAAACGCAGAUACGCGUAUCUGUCUGAAAGUAUCGUACGAAUAAGGAUCGGCUAACUCCGUGCCAGCCGCCGCGGUAAGACGGAGGAUUCAAGCGUUAUCCGGAUUUAUUGGGUUUAAAGUGUGCGUAGGCGGUCGGAUAAGUUAGAGGUGAAAUCCCGAGGCUCAACUUCGGAAUUGCCUCUGAUACUGUUCGGCUAGAGAGUAGUUGCGGUAGGCGGAAUGUAUGGUGUAGCGGUGAAAUGCUUAGAGAUCAUACAGAACACCGAUUGCGAAGGCAGCUUACCAAGCUACUUCUGACGUUGAGGCACGAAAGCGUGGGGAGCAAACAGGAUUAGAUACCCCAGUAGUC